UCUCUCGCGUGCUAUCUCUCUGGAGGCCGGUGCUCUGAUCUUUCUUUAGUUUACAUUACUGCUACAUGACGUCUUUCAACAAAUCAAGCUCAGUUAUCCGCAAAUCAAGCUCAGAUUCAUGAUAAUGUCGAUUUAACCUAUUCAUCAGGUUUUGAAAGCUCUACAUUUUAAGAAAACAGGUUCAGAAUGAAUCUUGGAACUUGAUUGGUUUAGUAAGACACUAGAGCCAGCUUUGCAAAUAUCGAAGCGAGCUCCGCCAGAAGGCAGAUAUGUGGUGUUGUGUCAAACGACCUGAGUUGAAUUCUAGCAUGGAUGGUGAGACUCUGGCAUUGCUUCACAUAAAAUUCGGCAUCAUAAGUGCAUUCUUAGUUACAUUCAUCAGGGUCAUCACAUCUGCAGUAAUCAAGGUGCGGAGAGGCGCAAAUUGGAUCCUUGCACACUAAACAAUCAUUUGUGGGUUGAUAAAAUGGUUGAGGUGCCUAUAAAUUACAACAUAAUCAGUUACUAGUGAAAUAUCUGCUUAGUGCAUACUAUAAGUUUAUUUGAUGAAGUAUAAUGAUGAUUACUGGAGUACACUGAAUACAGGGUGAAUCAUAUUGAAUAGGGUGAAUGUAAAGGGUAGACGCUUUACAUUAGCAGAGCUUAACGCUGCUACUAACAAUUUCAAAGACAGGUUAAUAAUUGGAGGAGGAUUUGGUAAGGUUUACAAAGGGUAGAUAGAAGACGGAACACUUGUAGCAAUUAAGCAAGC